AGCUUGAUGAUGAUUGUCUCUCAUGAUUGCUUGCUAAAAGCGAAGUGAUCCAUCAUUUCACCGACACUGAAAGCA
rnacentral:snoRNA from 1 species